rnacentral:rRNA from 1 species
UGGGGAAUUUUGGACAAUGGGCGAAAGCCUGAUCCAGCAAUGCCGCGUGUGUGAAGAAGGCCUUCGGGUUGUAAAGCACUUUUGUCCGGAAAGAAAUCCUUGGCUCUAAUACAGUCGGGGGAUGACGGUACCGGAAGAAUAAGCACCGGCUAACUACGUGCCAGCAGCCGCGGUAAUACGUAGGGUGCAAGCGUUAAUCGGAAUUACUGGGCGUAAAGCGUGCGCAGGCGGUUUGCUAAGACCGAUGUGAAAUCCCCGGGCUCAACCUGGGAACUGCAUUGGUGACUGGCAGGCUAGAGUAUGGCAGAGGGGGGUUAGAAUUCCACGUGUAGCAGUGAAAUGCGUAGAGAUGUGGAGGAAUACCGAUGGCGAAGGCAGCCCCCUGGGCCAAUACUGACGCUCAUGCACGAAAGCGUGGGGGAGCAAACGAUGGAUUAGACUGACCCG